GCCAGCAUGGUGUAGUGGUUUGAAUGUUGGAACUAUGGCUCAGGAGACCAAGGUUCAAUUCCCUGCUUGGGCA